AUACGUAGGGUGCAAGCGUUAAUCGGAAUUACUGGGCGUAAAGCGUGCGCAGGCGGUUUUUGAAGACAGUGGUGAAAUCCCCGGGCUCAACCUGGGAACUGCCAUUGUGACUGCAAGGCUGGAGUGCGGCAGAGGGGGAUGGAAUUCCGCGUGGAGCAGUGAAAUGCGUAGAGAUGCGGAGGAACACCGAUAGCGAAGGCAAUCCCCUGGGCCUGGACUGACGCUCAUGCACGAAAGCGUGGGGAGCAAACAGGAUUAGAUACCCUGGUAGUCCACGCCCUAAACGAUGUCAACUGGUUGUUGGGGAUUUAUUUUCUCAGUAACGAAGCUAACGCGUGAAGUUGACCGCCUGGGGAGUACGGCCGCAAGGUUAAAACUCAAAUGAAUUGACGGGG
rnacentral:rRNA from 1 species